GUGGGGAAUCUUAGACAAUGGGGGAAACCCUGAUCUAGCCAUGCCGCGUGAUCGAUGAAGGCCUUAGGGUUGUAAAGAUCUUUCAGCUGGGAAGAUAAUGACUGUACCAGCAGAAGAAGCCCCGGCUAACUCCGUGCCAGCAGCCGCGGUAAUACGGAGGGGGCUAGCGUUGUUCGGAAUUACUGGGCGUAAAGCGCACGUAGGCGGACCAGAAAGUCAGGGGUGAAAUCCCGGGGCUCAACCCCGGAACUGCCUUUGAAACUCCUGGUCUUGAGGUCGAGAGAGGUGAGUGGAAUUCCGAGUGUAGAGGUGAAAUUCGUAGAUAUUCGGAGGAACACCAGUGGCGAUGGCGGCUCACUGGCUCGAUACUGACGCUGAGGUGCGAAAGCGUGGGGAGCAAACAGGAUUAGAAACCCUUGUAGUCC
rnacentral:rRNA from 1 species